rnacentral:rRNA from 1 species
AUUGAACGCUGGCGGCAGGCCUAACACAUGCAAGUCGAGCGAGCGGCGGACGGGUGAGUAAUGUCUGGGAAACUGCCUGAUGGAGGGGGAUAACUACUGGAAACGGUAGCUAAUACCGCAUACCAUCGGAUGUGCCCAGAUGGGAUUAGCUUGUUGGUGGGGUAACGGCGCACCCAGGCGACGAGCCCUAGCUGGUCUGAGAGGAUGAGCAGCCACACUGGAACUGAGACACGGCCCAGACUCCUACGGGAGGCAGCAGUGGGGAAUAUUGCACAAUGGGCGCAAGCCUGAUGCAGCCAUGCCGCGUGUAUGAAGAAGGCCUUCGGGUUGUAAAGCACUUUCAGCGGGGAGGCGUUACCCGCAGAAGAAGCACCGGCUAACUCCGUGCCAGCCGCCGCGGUAAUUC